rnacentral:rRNA from 1 species
GUCGUCAGCUCGUGUUGUGAAAUGUUGGGUUAAGUCCCGCAACGAGCGCAACCCUUAUCCUUUGUUGCCAGCGAUUAGGUCGGGAACUCAAAGGAGACUGCCAGUGAUAAACUGGAGGAAGGUGGGGAUGACGUCAAGUCAUCAUGGCCCUUACGACCAGGGCUACACACGUGCUACAAUGGCGCAUACAAAGAGAAGCGACCUCGCGAGAGCAAGCGGACCUCAUAAAGUGCGUCGUAGUCCGGAUUGGAGUCUGCAACUCGACUCCAUGAAGUCGGAAUCGCUAGUAAUCGUGGAUCAGAAUGCCACGGUGAAUACGUUCCCGGGCCUUGUACACACCGCCCGUCACACCAUGGGAGUGGGUUGCAAAAGAAGUAGGUAGCUUAACCUUCGGGAGGGCGCUUACCACUUUGUGAUUCAUGACUGGGGUGAAGUCGUAACAAGGUAACCGUAGGGGAACCUGCGGUUGGAUCACCUCCUUACCUUAAAGAAGC